AGCAUCUGUGAGCCGAGGACACAGACUGAAAGCAGGUUUAUGUGUGGCGAAGCAUUAGAUACUGAAGCCCAACAACUCAAAACAUCAUUAAGACGACAAUCGCAUGAUUUGCUGACAAAGAUUUUGAGAAAGUGAAGACAAGUAAGGCAGCUAAAGAAUUCUACUCUACAUGAGGAUACAUCUUACUGAUGAGUUAAUGAGACACCAUGCAAUGGUUUGGUAAUGAACAUCAUACAGAUCUAAUAGAAACUACUGCUACAGUCUACCAGACCCAUAGCGUGGAGUAUGAAGAGGUUUUGCAUAUUUUGAGAAUUGUGUCUGUGGUGUGCACAUGUAUGCAGUGUGGUUCAGUGUUGAGAGUAGACUACAGUGCAUUUGGUGAAAAAGCUGCUUGAAAAAUCAUCUUUUUCGUUUUGAUUCCAUGCUAAGGGCCUGAAUGCCGUCAAUAGGGAUAAGAUGACAGUGAAAUGAGGCUACAUGCUUAAGAAGCAUAGGGUGAAGUCCAGCUAGGAGCACUUUCUAAAAUUUACUUACUUUCUUCACACAAAAAAAGAAAAUGAAAGGUGGAAAAAAAAACUGAAUAACAUUUGUGCACCCAAUGUGAAAAAUAGUGAUGUUAAACAAGUUGUUUCACUGAUUUGAGACGGACUGCUUAAUUCUUCGGGCUGGUGGCAGAAAAGUCGGAACGUACGCACUGAAAAUCUUGUAGACCAACCGACACAAUUUUUGUAGAAAAAACGUGGCAGCAACCAGAGUGACAACAGAAUGGCAAGUAGAUUACAAAUAGAAUUUCAUAAAUUUAUAAGGAUUACUACAAUAUAACUAAAUUUUCUAUUACAAUGUCACAUAUCUAAUUUCUAUAGCUUUUUUUUUUAUAAUUAAUUAGCAUCACCAAAAUUUUGAAUUUGAUUUGAUUAAAACUUGAAGGGAUGGGUUUUGAGGAGAGAGGGAAGGUAGGAAGGGGAGAAGAUUAUGAUUCUAGCAUUCAUCAAGGAAUUUUUAGGAUUGAGAUUACUUAGGAUUAAAAAUUUAAAAUAAAGAAAUUAACUAUUUUU